UCCCGUGUGGCUCAGUUGGUAGAGCAUGGUGUUUGCAACGCCAGGGUUGUGGGUUUGAUUCCCACGAGGGAC
rnacentral:tRNA from 1 species